CAAAUGUGUGUGCGUACACUUGAGUGUGUGUGUGUGUGUGUGUGUGUUUUGGAUUUCUUUCUUACAGCUGCAAGAGGAGGUGAAGAGUUGCGCUGAAAUGAAAUGAGUCAGUUUCCAGGAAAAGACCUGUAUCACAGCCAAUGAAUCUGAGGACACAUUGGGACAGAAGAUGCGCUCAAGUUGGGGAGAGGAAGAACUAGCAGAUUGGCUUCCUCUGGCACUGUCCCGCAUUCGCUCGUAUGUGUGCACGUUCUUGUGUUUGUGUGUGUGCACAAUCCCCUGCAGCUUUGCGUUACUCGGAGCUGCUGAUUUAUUAUUCAGGAGUGCCUCAUAGUGUCGAUGCUCAUGGGCACUUCAGGCUUCAGUGUAUGUAGGGGGGCACAGAACCAAAUGGAGGGUGACAGUAGAAUCCUACUGAAUGAAAGAUUUGAAGAGGAUGGUAAAUAUCACGUUUCAGGGCCAAAAUAUUCAUUUACUUUUUGUCUAUACUAGUGUUGCAAUUUAUUUUUAUCUUAAUGGGGGGUUUACUAGGGGAUGUCGCUAAUCUUUUUCAAAUAGCUUGUGAAGCCCUUUCAGUUGCUUUUAUGAUGAAGGGCUCUAAAAAUAAACUUGACUAAAUAGAAUCCUGUGAUGGAGCAGCUAAUGGAAUGGAAUGUCUAACUUCCUGUUACUC